rnacentral:tRNA from 1 species
UCUAAUAUGGCAGACUAGUGCAAUGGAUUUAAGCUUCAUAUAUAAAGUUAAAACUUUUUUUAGAA